AUGUUGUUUGGUGCAAACUGCAAGCAGGGGGAGAAUUCAAGGUUUGGAAUGAACCUAAGAAAUAAGAGUUGCUUUGGAUACAAUCAGCCUGGGCAAUGGCAGAAUUGGCAUAGCAGAAGACCUGUUGUUGGUACUGAGAAGUCUUGGCGACGAGAUGGGGAUUGGCUGUGUCCAAAUACAAGAUGUGAGAAUGUAAAUUUUGCAUUCCGAGGUGUCUGUAAUCGCUGUCAGGCAGCACGCCCUAUUGAUGUUAGUGCAAAGGCGACAACUAAAAAUGGUGGAAAAUCUCAGACUCUUACUGUCCAAAUGACUACUGAUGAGUUGAAGAAGUGGCUUCGGUUCAAGGAAGGAAUCAUUGAUGAAAGUUCAACAACCAAGAUAUUUGCUACAUCUGCUAACCCAUGUGGUAAUACUUCGAAAUUUGUGAAAGGAAGUUAUUUUGAGGCUGGUACAAAGUGGUUAAUAGACUCUGGUGCAUCUAAACAUAUGGCCGGUUCGUAUAAGGAUUUCUACAGUUAUACUCCUGAUUUUAUAGGGCAAAAUGUGAGACUUGCUGAUGGUUCUGGCCAGAGUAUUAGGGGGGUAGGAACAGUUAAAUGUUGCCCAAAUAUGACUCUAUCAUCUGUUUUACAUGUUCCCUCAUUCCCAAUCAAUUUGCUAUCCAUCAGCUGCAUUACAAGAGAACUUAAUUGUGCUGUAAUCUUCUUCCCAACAUGGUGUUUAUUUCUAGAACUUGGGACUUGGAAAAUCCUUGGGACAGGAAUUAUGCGAGGUGGUCUAUACUACUUGGAUGAUGAUAUGGUACCUAUGGCUGCUGCUGUGCUGUCUCAGUCGUCAUUGGAAGAAUUUCUUCUUCAUCAUCGCAGGCUGGGACAUAUGUCCUUUAACACCCUGGCCUGGACAAUGAGACAGGGGGAGAUGACAGCAGAGAAGACAAUGAUGUAG
rnacentral:rRNA from 1 species